CGCGUAGGCGGUUGCUUAAGCGUGCGGUGAAAGCCCGGGGCUCAACCCCGGGUCGGCCGUGCGGACUGGGCAGCUGGAGCACUGUAGAGGCAGGCGGAAUUCCGGGUGUAGCGGUGGAACGCGUAGAGAUCCGGAAGAACACCGGUGGCGAAGGCGGCCUGCUGGGCAGUGGCUGACGCUGAGGCGCGACAGCGUGGGGAGCAAACA
rnacentral:rRNA from 1 species